CCGGGCGUUAAGUUGCAGGGUAUAGACCCGAAACCCGGUGAUCUAGCCAUGGGCAGGUUGAAGGUUGGGUAACACUAACUGGAGGACCGAACCGACUAAUGUUGAAAAAUUAGCGGAUGACCUGUGGCUGGGGGUGAAAGGCCAAUCAAACCGGGAGAUAGCUGGUUCUCCCCGAAAGCUAUUUAGGUAGCGCCUCGUGAAUUCAUCUCCGGGGGUAGAGCACUGUUUCGGCUAGGGGGCCAUCCCGGCUUACCAACCCGAUGCAAACUGCGAAUACCGGAGAAUGUUAUCACGGGAGACACACGGCGGGUGCUAACGUCCGUCGUGAAGAGGGAAACAACCCAGACCGCCAGCUAAGGUCCCAAAGUCAUGGUUAAGUGGGAAACGAUGUGGGAAGGCCCAGACAGCCAGGAUGUUGGCUUAGAAGCAGCCAUCAUUUAAAGAAAGCGUAAUAGCUCACUGGUCGAGUCGGCCUGCGCGGAAGAUGUAACGGGGCUAAACCAUGCACCGAAGCUGCGGCAGCGACACUGUGUGUUGUUGGGUAGGGGAGCGUUCUGUAAGCCUGUGAAGGUGUGUCGUGAGGC
rnacentral:rRNA from 1 species